rnacentral:rRNA from 1 species
UACAGAGGGUGCAAGCGUUAUCCGGAUUCACUGGGUUUAAAGGGUGUGUAGGCGGAUUUUUAAGUCAGUGGUGAAAUCUCCGGGCUCAACCCGGAAACUGCCAUUGAUACUAUUAGUCUUGAAUUCUGUUGAGGUGGGCGGAAUACAUCAUGUAGCGGUGAAAUGCUUAGAUAUGAUGUAGAACACCGAUUGCGAAGGCAGCUCACUAAGCAGACAUUGACGCUGAGGCACGAAAGCGUGGGGAUCAAACAGG